rnacentral:rRNA from 1 species
GAUGAACGCUGGCGGCGUGCCUAAUACAUGCAAGUCGAGCGAACAGACGAUGAUCUUGCUCCUCUGACGUUAGCGGCGGACGGGUGAGUAACACGUGGAUAACCUACCUAUAAUACUGGGAUAACUUCGGGAAACCGGAUCUAAUACCGGAUAAUAUCUUGAACCGCGUGGUUCGAUAGUAAAAGUCGGUGUUUCUGUCACGAAUCGCUGGUUCCGGGCGGCAUUAGAUAGUUGGUAGGGUAACGGCUUACCAAGGCAAGGAUGCGUAGCCGACCGGUGAGGGGGAUAGGCGGCACUGGAGGGGAGACAGGGUCAAGAGUACUAAGGGAGGGAGCAGUAGGGAAUGGUAGGCAAUAGGCGAAAGCAUGACAGAGCAACGCCGAGCGAGUGAUGAAGGUCUUCGGUUCGUAAAGCUGUGUUAUUAGGUAAGAACAACUGUGGACGUAAAUAUGCACGUCUUGACGGUAACUAAUCAGAAAGCAACGGCUAACUACGUG